AGAUAUUUGGCUUGGUGGUAGAGUGUUGAAUUCUCAAUUUCAACGGUUAGGGUUUAAUCCUAAUUGCCUC